rnacentral:rRNA from 1 species
AAUCUGGGGUCCCCGACCCCCGAGUUGUAAUUUGGAGAGGCAUCUUCGGGAGGAGCGCCAGCCCAUGUUCCUUGGAACAGGACGUCGCAGAGGGUGAGAAUCCCGUGCCAGGCCGGCUGCCUCCCCCCCAUGUGAAGUGCCUUCGACGAGUCGAGUUGUUUGGGAAUGCAGCUCCAAGUGGGUGGUAAAUUUCAUCUAAAGCUAAAUACCGGCGAGAGACCGAUAGCGCACAAGUAGAGUGAUCGAAAGAUGAAAAGCACUUUGAAAAUAGAGUCAAAAAGUACGUGAAAUUGUUGAAAGGGAAGCGCUUGAGACCAGACUCAGAUUGAGGCAAACAUCUAGCCCCGCGGGGCGGUGCACUUGCCUCGAGCUGGGCCAGCAUCAGUUGGCGUGGCGGGACAAAGGCGCGGGGAAUGUGGCACCCCCCGGGGUGGAACUUAUGUAGCCCCGCGCUCAAUGCCGCCUACGUCGACUGAGGACCGCGCUUCGGCUAGGAUGCUGGCCUAAUGGCCUUCAGCGACCCGUCUUGAAACACGGACCAAGGAGUCUAACAUCUAUGCGAGUGUUUGGGUGCCAAACCCUUGCGCGGAAUGAAAGUGAACGGAGGUGGGAACCCCGCCAGGGGCGCACCAUCGACCGAUCCUGAUGUCUUCGGAUGGAUUUGAGUA